GUCUAAGGCCAUACCACCCUGAACGCGCCCAAUCUCGUCUGAUAUCGGAAGCUAAGCAGGGUCGGGGGCCUGGUUAGUACUUGGGUGGGAGACAAAAAUGGACUCUCAGUCUAGAGGCA
rnacentral:rRNA from 1 species